UACGUAGGGCGCAAGCGUUGUCCGGAAUUAUUGGGCGUAAAGAGCUCGUAGGCGGUCUGUUACGUCUGCUGUGAAAUCCUAGGGCUUAACCCUGGGCCUGCAGUGGAUACGGGCAGACUAGAGGGAGGUAGGGGAGAAUGGAAUUCCCGGUGUAGCGGUGAAAUGCGCAGAUAUCGGGAGGAACACCGGUGGCGAAGGCGGUUCUCUGGGCCGUACCUGACACUGAGGAGCGAAAGCGUGGGGAGCGAACAGG
rnacentral:rRNA from 1 species